rnacentral:piRNA from 1 species
UGCCUGAGACUUGGUGUGUUGCUGUGAGG